GCCUUAAUGGCGUAAUUGGAUAACGCGUCCGACUUCUAAUCGGAAGAUUGUGGGUUCAAGUCCCACUUGAGGUA
rnacentral:tRNA from 1 species